rnacentral:rRNA from 1 species
AGAGUUUGAUCAUGGCUCAGAUUGAACGCUGGCGGCAGGCCUAACACAUGCAAGUCGAGCGGUAGCACAGAGAGCUUGCUCUCGGGUGACGAGCGGCGGACGGGUGAGUAAUGUCUGGGAAACUGCCUGAUGGAGGGGGAUAACUACUGGAAACGGUAGCUAAUACCGCAUAACGUCGCAAGACCAAAGUGGGGGACCUUCGGGCCUCAUGCCAUCAGAUGUGCCCAGAUGGGAUUAGCUAGUAGGUGGGGUAACGGCUCACCUAGGCGACGAUCCCUAGCUGGUCUGAGAGGAUGACCAGCCACACUGGAACUGAGACACGGUCCAGACUCCUACGGGAGGCAGCAGUGGGGAAUAUUGCACAAUGGGCGCAAGCCUGAUGCAGCCAUGCCGCGUGUGUGAAGAAGGCCUUCGGGUUGUAAAGCACUUUCAGCGGGGAGGAAGGCGAUAAGGUUAAUAACCUUGUCGAUUGACGUUACCCGCAGAAGAAGCACCGGCUAACUCCGUGCCAGCAGCCGCGGUAAUACGGAGGGUGCAAGCGUUAAUCGGAAUUACUGGGCGUAAAGCGCACGCAGGCGGUCUGUCAAGUCGGAUGUGAAAUCCCCGGGCUCAACCUGGGAACUGCAUUCGAAACUGGCAGGCUAGAGUCUUGUAGAGGGGGGUAGAAUUCCAGGUGUAGCGGUGAAAUGCGUAGAGAUCUGGAGGAAUACCGGUGGCGAAGGCGGCCCCCUGGACAAAGACUGACGCUCAGGUGCGAAAGCGUGGGGAGCAAACAGGAUUAGAUACCCUGGUAGUCCACGCCGUAAACGAUGUCGAUUUGGAGGUUGUGCCCUUGAGGCGUGGCUUCCGGAGCUAACGCGUUAAAUCGACCGCCUGGGGAGUACGGCCGCAAGGUUAAAACUCAAAUGAAUUGACGGGGGCCCGCACAAGCGGUGGAGCAUGUGGUUUAAUUCGAUGCAACGCGAAGAACCUUACCUGGUCUUGACAUCCACAGAACUUUCCAGAGAUGGAUUGGUGCCUUCGGGAACUGUGAGACAGGUGCUGCAUGGCUGUCGUCAGCUCGUGUUGUGAAAUGUUGGGUUAAGUCCCGCAACGAGCGCAACCCUUAUCCUUUGUUGCCAGCGGUUNGGCCGGGAACUCAAAGGAGACUGCCAGUGAUAAACUGGAGGAAGGUGGGGAUGACGUCAAGUCAUCAUGGCCCUUACGACCAGGGCUACACACGUGCUACAAUGGCAUAUACAAAGAGAAGCGACCUCGCGAGAGCAAGCGGACCUCAUAAAGUAUGUCGUAGUCCGGAUUGGAGUCUGCAACUCGACUCCAUGAAGUCGGAAUCGCUAGUAAUCGUAGAUCAGAAUGCUACGGUGAAUACGUUCCCGGGCCUUGUACACACCGCCCGUCACACCAUGGGAGUGGGUUGCAAAAGAAGUAGGUAGCUUAACCUUCGGGAGGGCGCUUACCACUUUGUGAUUCAUGACUGGGGUGAAGUCGUAACAAGGUAACCGUAGGGGAACCUGCGGUUGGAUCACCU